rnacentral:rRNA from 1 species
CCUUAUUGUUAGUUGCCAUCAUUCAGUUGGGCACUCUAGCGAGACUGCCGGUAAUAAACCGGAGGAAGGUGGGGAUGACGUCAAAUCAUCAUGCCCCUUAUGACCUGGGCUACACACGUGCUACAAUGGUUGGUACAACGAGUCGCAAGUCGGUGACGGCAAGCAAAUCUCUUAAAGCCAAUCUCAGUUCGGAUUGUAGGCNGCAACUCGCCUACAUGAAGUCGGAAUCGCUAGUAAUCGCGGAUCAGCACGCCGCGGUGAAUACGUUCCCGGGCCUUGUACACACCGCCCGUCACACCACGAGAGUUUGUAACACCCGAAGUCGGUGAGGUAACCGUAAGGAGCCAGCCGCCUAAGGU